ensembl:lncRNA
GCCUGGAAGUCAUUAACAUUCUUCAGUCUGAAGGAGGCACACACAAGAGACACACUCACACAAGAGACACACUCCAUAUUUUAGACUUUAAUCUUCAAUAUUUGGACACUCGAAACUACAGAACUCACGGUAAAUUCAACAGCUGGAAUAACACUGGGAUAACAUUAUAUAAAAGUGAAUAGAACCACCUGGAAUAUAUCACAAUGUCCAUCCAGGGCCACAAGGUCAUGGGGCCACAUCACCCAACUCCUCCCCAAGUGGAGAGGACCAAUGCAAACAGAGCCAGUCGCUACAGAGGGCUGAUCAACCCGCGACAAAAGGAACAGCAGAUAUCACAAAAGACACUGCGCAGACCUUGGGUUCCACCGAGCCACAAUGACUUGGGCAAACUAUGUUUGUAUGUGGAAACAAGUCGUCUGGAGAGGAGCGAUGAUGAAAGAAGAAACCUGGCAAAGGAUGAAUACCAGGAUGUUCUGAGGACAAGACCGAGUGUAUGGGAAGAGGUCGAGGCUGUACACGAUGAGAGAAACAUUCAGAGUAAACUUGUACAGAAUGAAUUGGGGGAAGAUCGACGUCUCAAAAUGGAAAAACUACCUCGAAUUCUUCACAAACGCAUGGCAAUGGAUGAAUACCAAGAUCUUCUGGGGACAAGACCGAGUUUAUGGGAAGAGGUCGAGGCCGUACACGAUGAGAGAAACAUUCAGAGUAAACUUGUACAGAAGGAAUUGGGGGAAGAUCGCCGAAGACUUGUAAACAGAGUCAAAAUACGUUUAGCAAGGCGGUAAGAGAUGCUAAACGACUGUACUCUGAGAAACUCCAACAACAGUUCUCAGCAAGUGACUCUGAUUCGGUUUGGAGAGGCCUCAAACACCUCACUAACUACAAGCCAAAAACCCCCCACUCCAUGAAUGACCUCCACCUGGCAGACGAGUUGAAUGAGUUCUACUGCAGAUUCGAAAGACAAGGUCCUGAUCCCAUCCCCCACAGCUCCACCAACCUGCCCCAGUCCCCUACCCCUCCCUCCCCCAGCCCAUCAGGUGCUCACGCCUCUUCAUCUAUAUCACCUUCCCCUCCCCCACCAGCAACGACCCUCUCUAUUCUGGAGAGAGACGUUGACCGGCAAGGCAGCCGGACUCCGUCUCCCCUCACACCCUGAAGCAUUGUGCUGACCAGCUGUCUCCGGUGUUCACUGACAUCUUCAACACCUCCCUGGAGACAUGCCACAUACCAGCCUUCUUCAAGGCCUCCACCAUCAUCCCUGUUCCCAAGAAGCCCAGGAUCACAGGACUCAAUGACUACAGGCCCGUCGCCCUGACCUCUGUAGUCAUGAAGUCUUUUGAACGGCUAGUCCUGACCCACCUGAAGUCCCUCACCC